ACGCAGCCCUUUGAUGAUCAAGUUGCCUGAAUUCUAGGAGUCUGGCUUGCUUAUCCAUUUGAUUUCUUUCGCUCACAAAUGCAUACAUUUUCGCUCCUCAUCCUUGGUUGUAUCCCAUCUUAAUGAAAUAUUUUGUUUUUCUAUGUAUAUGCAGUAUUCCAUAUAUUAUGUUCUUCUGAUCUCAAAUAUGAAUUUUCUUUACUUGAGCUUAUGGACAAUGAUUAUUUUAGCUAAUAAGAUGUUUGUUUCAUUUUUGUAGCAUGGGAUGGAGAACAAUUCUACCACAUGGGCAUGCAAUGGAAAAUAAUAGCUGCUACAAUAUCUUCCUCUUUUGUUCGAAUUUAGGAGGGCUUUUCGAUAAUUUUGUUUGAUGGCUUUGUCUUAACAAUGUUGUUUGAUUGAUAAUUUUAGGCCAUGGUCUUCUUAUCAAUAUGAGUGUUGUAAAUAAUAUAUUGGGAUGGUUGUAGCUCUGAAUUUCAUUGCAGGCACUAACUACUUGAUGUUUACUAAUAGUAGAGAUGGAGUUUGAAAUUAUUUCGAGUAACGAGAAACAUGUUUUCAGAUAUUGCAAUGAUACCAAGAAAAGGGAAAUUCAAGUCCAUCUAUUACAGUAGCCAAAAAGGCUAUAGUACCACCCAUUGAAACAAGAAGGCAUCCAACAAACUAUUCAGCUCUAUUUUCACAUGAUCCUGUCUGGUUUUGCUAAUUUGUUGCCUAUUUUCACAUCUGUUGCUAAUUUGUUAUGUUUUGUUCAUCUCUGCUAGAGAGGGAGAUGGGAAGGGAAUAAAGAAAUGGUGAGGGAGGUUGAGGAGACAACGGAUGAACAUCAAUCUACAAUAAUCUGGUAUAGAAUCUUGAUAUUAUAUAUGUUGAUUCCAAUCUUUUGACCUGAUGUGGUUUCUUGUUUACUGUACCGAAUAAGAAAACUGAUGGUAACAUACCUGUUGUUUCAUAUAUUUUGUCCGAACUGAUCUUGUGUCUUGUUACUGUCUAAUUCUGAUGUAGUAAGUUGUAUGUCGCUAACUGGCCUUCUUUACUUUUUGGUUCAAUCGGUUGGCUUAAAUGUUGGCUGGAGUGUGGAUAUUCUAAUUGAUGGAUUUGUCCCUCCGGCUGGCAGUUGUCGCUCAUAUGCUUACUUUAGCGCGACUUCUACGACCAUUUUUCCCUCUCCUCCAGCUACUGAACAUUUUUUCUUCUGAUCAGCUCUCUGUUGCAUACCAGUUAGUAAAUUGCCUGUUAUUGUAUCCACAAUUGAGCUUUCUUAAUAAUCUGGUAUCUGGUCUCUUAUGUUUUAAGCCAUUAUUGUCAGCUAAUUAUUUUGAGAGAUAAAAGUUAUUAUUUUGGUCCUACUAAGCACCACAUUAUUUCUCUGGAUGUCAUCCACAUGAAUAUAAUGUGCUUGAUUUUAAUAAUACUAUGGGUUUUCUUUUCGGUAAUUCGUCAAGCGAAACAAUGUUUUAUUCUUUUAUUUCUAAUUUCAUCAAAAUGUUUUCAAAAAUAUUAUAUAAUUAUGUGCUCUGAUUCUUGGCAGGCUGUUCCCACAAGAACGCUGACACUGGUCAUCUAAAUUUCUUUUAAUUAUUUUGCAGCUUGGAGAAGCAUGAAAUGAUGCUAUCAAGCACUCCUUUUUAGUUUGGCCUUUCUGUCGUCAUUGUGAAGAUCAUUUAACAUGGAGAAGAACAAAAGUAAUGAUAAAGGUUAAGUUUGUCCUUUAGUGGAGAGCACUUUAGAAACAUACUUGAGAACUAUUAUAUUCCUACAUCAUACUAUAGUAUCAUUGUAUUUAUGAAUUUUCAGCUGAAUAUCUGAUUAGUUUGAUGUUACACUCA